GACGAACGCUGGCGGUGUGCUUCACACAUGCAAGUCGAACGAGGUAGCAAUACCUAGUGGCGGACGGGUGAGUAACGCGUGGGAAUCUGCCUUUAGAUGGGGGGAUAACGGGUCGAAAGACUCGCUAAUACCGCAUAUGACGAAAGUUGAAAGGAGUAAUCCGUCUAAAGAUGAGCCCGCGUCCGAUUAGCUAGUUGGUAGAGUAAAAGCCUACCAAGGCGACGAUCGGUAGCUGGUCUGAGAGGAUGAUCAGCCACAAUAGGGACUGAGACACGGCCCAUACUCCUACGGGAGGCAGCAGUGGGGAAUUUUACGCAAUGGGCGAAAGCCUGACGUAGCGACACCGCGUGAGCGAAGAAGCCCCUUGGGGUGUAAAGCUCUGUCAGCUGGAACGAAAAAAUGACGGUACCAGCAGAGGAAGCAUCGGCUAACUACGUG
rnacentral:rRNA from 1 species